rnacentral:piRNA from 1 species
UGGGAGUUGUUUUCACAGUGGCUUGC